rnacentral:rRNA from 1 species
AGUGGCGAACGGGUGAGUAACACGUGGGCAACCUGCCCAAAAGAGGGGGAUAACACUUGGAAACAGGUGCUAAUACCGCAUAACCAUAGUUACCGCAUGGUAACUAUGUAAAAGGUGGCUAUACUACCGCUUUUGGAUGGGCCCGCGGCGCAUUAGCUAGUUGGUAGGGUAAAGGCUUACCAAGGCAAUGAUGCGUAGCCGAACUGAGAGGUUGAUCGGCCACAUUGGGACUGAGACACGGCCCAAACUCCUACGGAAGGCAGCAG